UAACGCGUGAGUAACCUGCCUUACACAAGGGGAUAGCCUCUGGAAACGGAGAAUAAUACCCUAUGAAAUUACAUUCUCGCAUGAGGAAAUAAUCAAAAUGUUUAGUGGUGUAAGAUGGACUUGCGUCUGAUUAGCUAGUUGGUGAGAUAAAAGCUCACCAAGGCAACGAUCAGUAGCCGGCUUGAGAGAGUGUACGGCCACAUUGGGACUGAGACACGGCCCAG
rnacentral:rRNA from 1 species